GCCCUUCCUUCCGUUUUACACACCCUCUUAAACUACCUAUGUCUCUACCCUCCUCCUUUCCUUCCGCCUUUACCUAGUCGGCCGUCACCAAUUUCUCUUCCACUGCAUUCUCGGUUCCGCUCAACAUGCACCUCCUAUAUACUCCACUCGGUUUAGGGUAGAAACCUAGAAAUUAUUGCCACCUCCUCCUCCUCUGCCAUCUCUCCUAUAGAUCCUGCAAAUCUCUCCCUUUUCUCCACUAUAAUGGUGGUGUGGUGAUGAUGUUGAUGAUGGCAAUGAUAAAGAUAGUUCAUUUGAAACUAACCUUCAGGUCAUCUUUAGAGCCGCUGUCCUUCCUCUGGGAUGAACCCUUAGAGGGGCCACUUUCCUUUGUAUGGAUGUAUGGCAAGUACCACGCACCUACCGUUCUGAUAGAAGAGUAUGGAGGAGCAUGUAUUACCUUGUAAGAAAGGCAAGUCCAGAGGCCAGAAGUGAAGCCCGGCCUCUGUGUUUCUAACAUCAAGGUGCUGCCCUGCCCAGGACC